ACGCUGGCGGCGUGCCUAACACAUGCAAGUCGAGCGGGGACUUUACGACAGAUUUGAAGACUUCGGUUGAAUAUGAAGAUGAAAGUUCUAGCGGCGGACGGGUGAGUAACGCGUGAGCAACCUGUCCCUUACAGGGGGAUAACACAGCGAAAGUUGUACUAAUACCGCAUAAGACCACGGUAAGACAUCUUACAGGGGUCAAAGGAGAAAUCCGGUAAGGGGUGGGCUCGCGUCCGAUUAGAUAGUUGGUGAGGUAACGGCCCACCAAGUCGACGAUCGGUAGCCGACCUGAGAGGGUGAUCGGCCACAUUGGGACUGAGACACGGCCCAAACUCCUACGGGAGGCAGCAGUGGGGAAUAUUGGGCAAUGGGGGGAAAACCCCCUGACCCAGCAACGCCGCGUGAGGGAAGAAGGUUUUCGGAUCGUAAACCUCCUGUCCUUGGUGAAGAGGAAGAGACGGUAGCCGAAGGAGGAAGCCCCGGCUAACUACGUGCCAGCAGCCGC
rnacentral:rRNA from 1 species